rnacentral:misc_RNA from 1 species
GCAGACCAACGCACAACAGUAUCCGUAUCACGCAGUCCUGACAGCAGUAAUUCAAUUAUCUCUUCUACUAUAUCAGGGACAUCCAUGUCUUCUUCGUCAUGACAGUCCGGUUCUUGGUCGAAAUUUGAUAGAUCAUUGUUUCUAUAAUUAUUGUAUUGGUUCGUUUCAAUUCGAUCAGCAGUAAUAUGCCCUCCAAGCGUGCUGGUUCUACCCACAUAUCGCCAUGACUGAUGACGUGGAGGGAGACAUAUCAUCCCAAUCCUUUGAGUUAGCUU